GAUGAACGCUGGCGGCGUGCCUAAUACAUGCAAGUCGAGCGAACAGACGAGGAGCUUGCUCCUCUGACGUUAGCGGCGGACGGGUGAGUAACACGUGGAUAACCUACCUAUAAGACUGGGAUAACUUCGGGAAACCGGAGCUAAUACCGGAUAAUAUAUUGAACCGCAUGGUUCAAUAGUGAAAGACGGUUUUGCUGUCACUUAUAGAUGGAUCCGCGCCGCAUUAGCUAGUUGGUAAGGUAGCGGCUUACCAAGGCAACGAUGCGUAGCCGACCUGAGAGGGUGAUCGGCCACACUGGAACUGAGACACGGUCCAGACUCCUACGGGAGGCAGCAGUAGGGAAUCUUCCGCAAUGGGCGAAAGCUUGACGGAGCAACGCCGCGUGAGUGAUGAAGGUCUUCGGAUCGUAAAACUCUGUUAUUAGGGAAGAACAAAUGUGUAAGUAACUAUGCGCGUCUUGACGGUACCUAAUCAGAAAGCCACGGCUAACUACGUG
rnacentral:rRNA from 1 species